GUCGGCAGCUAGCUCUCUGCAACUCUCACAUGGUCGCCCACUGAAGCUAAGCAGGGCUGCGCCUGGUCAGUACCUGGAUGGGAGACCACAUGGGAAAGCUAGGUUGCUGCUGGAA
rnacentral:rRNA from 1 species